AGCGAACGCUGGCGGCAGGCCUAACACAUGCAAGUCGAGCGCCGUAGCAAUACGGAGCGGCAGACGGGAGAGUAACACGUGGGAACGUACCCUUUGGUUCGGAACAACCCAGGGAAACUUGGGCUAAUACCGGAUAAGCCCUUACGGGGAAAGAUUCAUCGCCGAAGGAUUGGCCCGCGUCUGAUUAGCUAGUUGGUGAGGUAAUGGCCCACCAAGGCGACGAUCAGUAGCUGGUCUGAGAGGAUGAUCAGCCUCACUGGGACUGAGACACGGCCCAGACUCCUACGGGAGGCAGCAGUGGGGAAUAUUGGACAAUGGGCGCAAGCCUGAUCCUGCCAUGCGGCGUGGGUGAUGAAGGCCCUAGGGUUGGAAAGCCCUUUCGGCGGGGAAGAUAAUGACGGUACCCGCAGAAGAAGCCCCGGCUAACUUCGUGCCAGCCGCCGCAGUAA
rnacentral:rRNA from 1 species